GACGAACGCUGGCGGCGUGCUUAACACAUGCAAGUCGAACGGAAAGGCCCUGCUUUUGUGGGGUGCUCGAGUGGCGAACGGGUGAGUAACACGUGAGUAACCUGCCCUUGACUUUGGGAUAACUUCAGGAAACUGGGGCUAAUACCGGAUAGGAGCUCCUGCUGCAUGGUGGGGGUUGGAAAGUUUCGGCGGUUGGGGAUGGACUCGCGGCUUAUCAGCUUGUUGGUGGGGUAGUGGCUUACCAAGGCUUUGACGGGUAGCCGGCCUGAGAGGGUGACCGGCCACAUUGGGACUGAGAUGCGGCCCAGACUCCUACGGGAGGCAGCAGUGGGGAAUAUUGCACACUGGGCGGAAGCCUGCUGCAGCAACGCCGCGUGCGGGAUGACGGCCUUCGGGUUGUAAGCCGCUUUCGCCUGUGACGAAGCGUGAGUGACGGUAAUGGGUAAAGACGCACCGGCUAACUACGUG
rnacentral:rRNA from 1 species